rnacentral:rRNA from 1 species
GAUGAACGCUAGCGGCAGGCUUAAUACAUGCAAGUCGUGGGGCAGCAGGAGUGUAGCAAUACACUCGCUGGCGACCGGCAAACGGGUGCGGAACACGUACGCAACCUACCCAAAACUGGGGGAUAGCCCGGGGAAACCCGGAUUAAUACCUCGUAACAUAAUGGAGUGGCAUCACUUUAUUAUUAUAGCUCCGGCGGUUUUGGAUGGGCGUGCGCCUGAUUAGGUAGUUGGCGGGGUAAUGGCCCACCAAGCCUGCGAUCAGUAACUGGUGUGAGAGCACGACCAGUCACACGGGCACUGAGACACGGGCCCGACUCCGUACGGGAGGCAGCAGUAAGGAAUAUUGGUCAAUGGACGCAAGUCUGAACCAGCCAUGCCGCGUGAAGGAU